rnacentral:lncRNA from 1 species
CCCCAACCCCCCGUACCCCAUAGCCCACCCCAUAACCCGCAUCCCCCAUUCCGCCCCACAGCGCCGCCCUUCGGGCUCCGUGGAGGAGCGCGGAGCACUGCUGGAUGUGGGGCCGCCCCACAGCGAUGGGGACAGCGACGGCUCCGAGUGGGAGUGGGAGUGGGAGGAGCACGAAGGUACGGCCCCCCCCGACCCCAAACCCGACCCCAAACCCGACCCUAAAUGUGAUCCUAAAUGUGAUCCUAAACCCGACCCCAAACCUGACCCUAAACCCGACCCUAAACGUGAUGUUAAACCCAACCCCAAACCCGACCCUAAAUGUGAUCCUAAAUGUGAUCCUAAACCCGACCUCAAACCCGACCCUAAAUCCGACCCUAAAUGUGACCCUAAAUGUGACCUUAAACCCGACCCCAAACCCAACCCUAAACGUGAUCCUAAACCUGACCCUAAACCUGAUCUUAAACCCGACCCUAAACCUGAUCCUAAACCCGAUCCUAAACCCGACCCUAAUCCUAAACCCGACCCUAAACCUGAUCCUAAUCCUAAACCUGUUCCUGAUCCUAAUCCCAACCCCAACCCAACCCUAAUCCUAAACCUGAC